UACAGAGGGUGCGAGCGUUGUCCGGAAUCACUGGGCGUAAAGGGCGCGUAGGCGGCCCGGCAAGUCAAUGGUGAAAGCUCAGGGCUCAACUCUGAGUCGGACACUGAUACUGCGGGGCUCGAGUCUGGUAGAGGCAGAUGGAAUUCCGGGUGUAGCGGUGGAAUGCGUAGAGAUCCGGAAGAACACCGGUGGCGAAGGCGGUCUGCUGGGCCAGUACUGACGCUGAGGCGCGACAGCGUGGGGAGCAAACAGG
rnacentral:rRNA from 1 species